UACGGGGGGGGCAAGCGUUGUUCGGAUUUACUGGGCGUAAAGGGCUCGUAGGCGGCCAACUAAGUCAGACGUGAAAUCCCUCGGCUUAACCGGGGAACUGCGUCUGAUACUGGAUGGCUUGAAUCCGGGAGAGGGAUGCGGAAUUCCAGGUGUAGCGGUGAAAUGCGUAGAUAUCUGGAGGAACACCGGUGGCGAAGGCGGCAUCCUGGACCAACACUGACACUGAGGAGCGAAAGCCAGGGGAGCGAACGGG
rnacentral:rRNA from 1 species